rnacentral:rRNA from 1 species
AGCGAACGUUUGCGGCGGGCUUAACACAUGCAAGUCGAACGAGAAUCCCGUUCGGGGAGGAAAGUGGCGCGACGGGUGGCGUAACACGUGGAUAACCAACCCAUUGGUUUGGGACAACACCGGGAAACUGGUGCUAAUACCAGAGUGUGUCGCAGCUGUCUUCAGGGCGGUUGCGAGAAAGGCCCGCAAGGGUCGCCAACGGGACGGGUCCGCGUCCCAUCAGCUUAGUUGGUGAGGUAAUGGCUCACCAAGGCAAAGACGGGUAGCUGGUCUGAGAGGGAUGAUCAGCCACACCUGGAACUGAGACACGGUCCAGACUCCUACGGGAGGC